UCUGGGGUGUGGCGUGAGUACAGAGAAGCUAUCACCUCAGA
rfam:Sarcophilus harrisii ctg7180002205689, whole genome shotgun sequence.